GCACCGAUAGUCAAGUGGUCACGACACCGCUUUCCCAAAGCGGCAGCCCGGGUUCGAACCCCGGUCGGUGCA
rnacentral:tRNA from 2 species